UACAGAGGUCUCAAGCGUUGUUCGGAUUCAUUGGGCGUAAAGGGCGCGUAGGCGGCCUUCUCAGUCAGACGUGAAAUCCCCAGGCUUAACUUGGGAACUGCGUCUGAUACUGGAAGGCUUGAGUGCGGGAGAGGGAUGUGGAAUUCCAGGUGUAGCGGUGAAAUGCGUAGAUAUCUGGAGGAACACCGGUGGCGAAGGCGGCAUCCUGGACCGACACUGACGCUGAGGCGCGAAAGCUAGGGGAGCAAACGGG
rnacentral:rRNA from 1 species